CUGGAUCAUUCGCGCUGAUGGCGGCAGAGGCGGUCGUGUCGUGUCUGUGUUUGCGCGAGCGAUGAUAUGGCGUCGGAGAUGUGAGGCUGGCUUGGAAGGAUGCCUCUGGAUGUAUGGACGUUAGCCGCGAAGCGACCCAGAAGGCACAUUUGUCGGUAGGUCACGAAAUGUCACGAAUGUUAGGAAAGGUCACGAAAUGUCACGAAUGUUAGGAAAGGUCACGAAAUGUCACGAUUAAUUUGAUGUCAGUACGCAGGGAUGCUGUGUUAUCUGUGGUAGGGCCCCUCACGGCCUGUUUUGGUGUAUCAUUUAUUGGUACGUUUAAGCCCUCUUGUUUGCCCACCCCUUUCGUUUAUUUUGUACGUUUGGUAACGCUUAUUUAUACGUCCUUUGAUUUGUGUAUUGUGUUUCGUUCCCAGCAACGACUGUUACUCUCGAGAUCGUGUGGGCUAUCCACUCAGCUCACUCGGUCCAAUAAACGGUCCGUUAAGA